rnacentral:rRNA from 1 species
ACCCGCUGAACUUAAGCAUAUCAGUAAGCGGAGGAAAAGAAACUAACUAGGAUUCCCCGAGUAGCGGCGAGCGAAAGGGGAGAAGCCCAGCGCCGAAGCCCGCGUGUCUCUUGACCGCAGUGCAAUGUGGCGUAUCGGCGGCGACUCGCCGCGUCUGCUCUGGCACGAGUACCUCUGAAUGGGUCUGCCCGUAGCGGGUGUCAGGCCUCUACUUUGCCGGAUGAGCGGGCGCGUCCUGUCGUCGUCGCGGAGUCGGGUUGCUUGAGAGUGCAGCCCAAAGUGGGUGGUAAGCUCCAUCUAAGGCUAAAUACCUAGUGCGAGACCGAUAGCAAACAAGUACCGUGAGGGAAAGUUGCAAAGAACUUUGAAAAGAGAGUUCAAGAGUACGUGAAACCGUUCAGAGGCAAACGGACGGAACUGGGCGAUUCCGUCGCAGCCAUUCAGCCGAAGAUGCCGCCUCUCUUCUGGGAGGUGGCGGACGCGGUGCACUUGGCGGCGGCGGAGCGCGACGACCGCCUGUCGGGUCGUCAGAAGCCCGGCGGCAAGGUGGCGACGCGCUUGCGCGUCGUGUUACAGGCCGCCGCGGCGUUGGCAGACUCGGCGGGCGAGGAGCGCCUGCGGUGCACUCCCCGGCGUGGGAGUGGCCCGACGUGGUGGGCUUGCGGUCGCCGGCGACGAACUGCUCGCAGUUUGUUGUCGCGCGCGCCGUCUGUCGUGCCGCGCGGUGCCACGUUGCAUCCAGGGUCCGGGUCGCGUGGUUCCCGGCACUCCGUCCGACCCGUCUUGAAACACGGACCAAGGAGUUGAGCACGCGCGCGAGUCGAUGGGCAUGUUGAACCCCAGUGGCGUAGCUAAGGCAAAACGGGCGUGAUCCGGCACUGGCGUGUCGGCGCAACGCCGGCCCGCAGGCGACUCGUUGCAAGUGCCUGCGGCGCAAGAGCGUGCGUGCUCAGACCCGAAAGGUGGUGAACUAUGCUUGAGCAGGGCGAAGCCAGAGGAAACUCUGGUGGAGGCUCGCAGCGAUCCUGACGUGCAAAUCGGUCGUCAAACUUGAGCAUAGGGGCGAAAGACUAAUCGAACCGCCUAGUAGCUGGUUCCCUCCGAAGUUUCCCUCAGGAUAGCUGGCACUCGGGAUAAAUGGUUUUAUCCGGUAAAGCGAAUGAUUAGAGGCAUUGGGGACGAAACGUCCUCAACCUAUUCUCAAACUUUAAAUGGGUAAGAGGCGCGACCCUUCCUGAUCGGGGUCGCGUGCUCGAACAGAGAGUGCCCAGUGGGCCGUUUUUGGUAAGCAGAACUGGCGCUGUGGGAUGAACCAAACGUGCGGUUAGGGUGCCUAACGCACGCUCAUGAGACACCACAAAAGGUGUUGGUUGAUAUAGACAGCAGGACGGUGGCCAUGGAAGUCGGAAUCCGCUAAGGAGUGUGUAACAACUCACCUGCCGAAUCAACUAGCCCUGAAAAUGGAUGGCGCUGGAGCGUGCGACCCAUACCGCGCCGUCGGGGCAAUGCGUGCGAAAUGCCAGGCCCCGACGAGUAGGAGGGCGUGUCGGUGGCGUUGAAGCGUAGUGCGCGAGCACGCGUGGAGCCGCCUUCAGUGCAGAUCUUGGUGGUAGUAGCAAGUAUACAAAUGAGAACUUUGUAGACCGAAGUGGAGAAGGGUUCCAUGUGAACAGCAGUUGGACAUGGGUCAGUCGGCCCUAAGAGAUCGGAAAAUUCCGUUCUGAACGGGGAGAGGCAUGUGAGUGGCUGCGGGAGGCGGCCGUCGGUGGACGCCGGGCAGGGCGUCGUCUAGCGCGCCAUGCGGAGCACGGGCCGGCCGGCCGCGCCGUCUGAUCCGAUCUGAUCUGAUCUGUGCGGUUGCGAUGUCGUGAGUCGGGCCGAGAGCGUGCGGGCGGCACUUAAGCGCUGCUCGGGGUGCUGUCGGCGGAGGGCUUUCCGCGGUCGAUAGCCUCAGGCAAAAGGUUGCAAACCCCGAUGCGAUCGAAAGGGAAUCGGGUUAAUAUUCCCGAACCUGGCAGUGGAGAUUGGGCCCUCGGGCCCCAGUGCGGUAACGCAACCGAACUCGGAGACGUCAGCGUCGAUCCCGGGAAGAGUUCUCUUUUCUUUGUUAGGAGCGGACUCCCUGGAAUUGGCUUGUCCAGAGAUAGGGACGUUGCAUCCGUAAAGCGUCGCGCCUCACGCGGCGUCCGGUGCAUCGGCGUUGACCCUUGAAAAUCCGAGGGAGGCAGUGUAAUUUUCACUCCAGGCCGUACCCGAAUCCGCAGCAGGUCUCCAAGGUGAACAGCCUCUGGUCGAUAGAACAAUGUAGGUAAGGGAAGUCGGCAAAUCCGAUCCGUAACUUCGGGAUAAGGAUUGGCUCUGAGGUGCGGGCUGCUUCGGGUCGCGGCAAGAAGCGGAUCGUGCGUUGGUUGGACUGGGCGCGCUCGCAAGGGCGCGUUCGGACCGCCGCCAGCGCGCGUCCGUGGGAGGCCGUGGCUUUCGCCGGCGCGUGCUCACGCGC